UACGAAGGGGGCUAGCGUUGUUCGGAAUUACUGGGCGUAAAGCGCGCGCAGGCGGUUUUUCAAGUCAGUGGUGAAAGCCCGGAGCUCAACUCCGGAACUGCCAUUGAAACUGUGAAACUCGAGGAUAGAGGAGGUGAGUGGAAUUCCCAGUGUAGAGGUGAAAUUCGUAGAUAUUGGGAAGAACACCGGUGGCGAAGGCGGCUCACUGGCUCAUUUCUGACGCUCAGGCGCGACAGCGUGGGGAUCAAACAGG
rnacentral:rRNA from 1 species